rnacentral:lncRNA from 1 species
CAGAGGACAACAGAACUUCACAAAUAGUGGAAGUGAAGUUCCUUCCUCAGGAAAGGACCUUUGGGCAGCAAGGAAGGAAGGAAGGAAGGAAGGAAAGAAGGAAGAAAGGAAGGAGAAAAAUAAAUUAUCCAAGAACUGAAACUCACCAGAUCACCACAUCCGUGAGAUCCCGGACCCCUCAUUCAUCCUUAUUGCUUCCUUGCCCCCUCCCUAGUUUCUACUUUCUUACACAUUGUUACAUUUCUUCCCUGCUAUUUAAACCCCUAGUUUUGGCCCAUCAGGGAGAUGGAUGUAAGACUGAGCUCGAUCUCCUUGGCUGUAGCACCUAAUUAAAGCCCUCUUCCUUGGCAAUACUUGUCAUCGCAGUGAUUGGCUUACUGUGCAGUGAGCAGCAGGACCUAGGCCAAAUCCCUGGUGUUUUGGUAACAAUAUCAUCA